rfam:Triticum aestivum genome assembly, contig: Triticum_aestivum_CS42_TGACv1_scaffold_640769_T_1BL-0.066232_4AL-0.045224
AUGAUACUCCCUCCGUUUGGCAUUACUUGUCUCGAAAAUGGAUGUAUCUAGAACUAAAAUACGUCUAGAUACAUCCAUUUCCGCUACAAAUAAUUCCGAACGGAGCGAGUAUAAU